AACGCGAAGAACCUUACCUACUCUUGACAUCCAGAGAACUUAGCAGAGAUGCUUUGGUGCCUUCGGGAACUCUGAGACAGGUGCUGCAUGGCUGUCGUCAGCUCGUGUUGUGAAAUGUUGGGUUAAGUCCCGCAACGAGCGCAACCCUUAUCCUUUGUUGCCAGCGAUUCGGUCGGGAACUCAAAGGAGACUGCCGGUGAUAAACCGGAGGAAGGUGGGGAUGACGUCAAGUCAUCAUGGCCCUUACGAGUAGGGCUACACACGUGCUACAAUGGCGUAUACAAAGAGAAGCGACCUCGCGAGAGCAAGCGGAACUCAUAAAGUACGUCGUGGUCCGGAUUGGAGUCUGCAACUCGACUCCAUGAAGUCGGAAUCGCUAGUAAUCGUAGAUCAGAAUGCUACGGUGAAUACGUUCCCGGGUCUUGUACACACCG
rnacentral:rRNA from 1 species